rnacentral:rRNA from 1 species
CCUACGGGAGGCAGCAGUGGGGGAUAUUGCACAAUGGGGGAAACCCUGAUGCAGCGACGCCGCGGGGGUGAAGAAGCGCCUCGGCGCGUAAAGCCCUGUCAGCAGGGAAGAAAAUGACGGUACCUGAAGAAGAAGCCCAGGCGAACUACGUGCCAGCAGCCGCGGUAAUACGUAGGGGGCAAGCGUUAACCGGAUUUACUGGGUGUAAAGGGGGCGCAGACGGGGAUGCAAGCCAGGAGUGAAAGCCCGGGGCCCAACCCCGGGACUGAUCUUGGAACUGCGUGGCGAGAGUGCAGGAGGGGCAGGCGGAAUUCCUGGUGUAGCGGUGAAAUGCGUAGAUAUCAGGAGGAACACCGGUGGCGAAGGCGGCCUGCUGGACUGCAACUGACGUUGAGGCCCGAAAGCGUGGGGAGCAAACAGGAUUAGAUACCCUGGUAGUC